CCUCCCAAGGUUUCUUCCUCAGUUCUGAGGGAGUUUUUCCUUGCCACUGUUGCCCCUGGCUUACCCACCAGGGGGUUUCUGUACAUUCUUACAGUCCUGUUGAAACUUUGUCUUUGAAAAGCUAACAAUUUCUAACAAUGAAAAGCUAAUUAAGCGUUAGGUUAAUAGAACUUAUCGACACCUUUGCUUCACCCCAAUGGGAAGGGCCAACAGUCAGAGAAAACACGAUAACACGGAACCUUUAGUGCAGUUCGAGUUCUGCAUUCUCAAUAAGAAAACAGCUACAAUCUUAAGUUUGUGCCAGCCUUCGUCAGAAAGACAGGUCAGAAGUAUUGGAACGCUACACGAUCAGAUCUGAAACCUUUGUUGUUUUGCAGCUUGCCUGUUCGCCUACCCACCUUAAAUUAAACCACCCUCAGAGAUGGAAGGUGGAUAUUUCCUAUCUGGCCAGGGAGAAGAUAUCCACAACUUUCAAAUCUGCUAAAGAGAGGUAGUUAGUUAAAUUAGUACCACCAGCCUCAGAACCCUGAUUGCAAUCUGAGCCUCGCCAGCAGAGUGGGAGCAGAUUUCACACCAAGGAGACCCGGCCUCACACCCAGAGCCACGCACUAGCCUGUGAGCAGAUCAACCAUCAAAAGGCUGCCAUACUCCACCCUCAGACGGCCACAAGACGCCUCCGUCCAAUCACUGACAGAAAGGCGCAUGCCCGCAUGGCCCGAAGAUGCCAUAUGCAUGAGCGGCGAGGAGACGAACCAACGUGUGAGCUCCAGCCUUCGAUAAAGCCGGUCUGGAAACGACCCUCUCUGGAAGUCAGCCCGACUCCCACAUCAGGACCCGUAAUUCCAGUAACCUCAUCUAUCCCCCACGGUCGUCAGAAUCUUAGACCAGGGUUGCAGAUGGGCUCUGGAAUUGCCAAUCUGCUGUGAAGAAGACAGACUUCAUUUCAGCCCUCGCAUCCUUCUAUUCACUGCACUUCCUGGCGUUGACGGAGACCUGGAUCACCUCCAUGAACUUGACGACUCCAACAGCCCUGUCUUUCACUUCUCCCAUACUCCACGGCAUUCUGGCAGGGGUGGUGGCACAGGCUACUUCAUUGAUGAGUUAGACACUCUACUGAGUCUCUUCUCCAUUGGUGAAACCCCACUCAUACUCUUGGGUGACUUCAACCUGCCAUCAGACAAGCUGCAGUCAUCCUGCCUCUUACCACUGCUAUCAUCCUUCGACCUCGCCCUCAAGCAGACUCCUCCAAUGCACAGAGCAGGCAAUGUUUGGACCUGAUAUUCACCAGACCUACCUCCACGCUGGAUGUGACAGCCAGCAAGAUCUUCCUCACCUGCCCCCUGGCUGAUUGGUAUCCUGCACAGUAACUGACAAGAACUAUAAAAGGCUGAGAGAAGGUGGAGGAAAUCCCAGCUCGACUCAGAUCUUCACUCCUACCAAUCUCUUCUUUCCAAGUUCUCACAUGAAGUUAUUGCUGCAAAGUCAUCUUUCUACAGAGGGAAACUGGAAGCAUCAGCAUCUGAUCCAUGCAAGCUCUUCAACAUCUUCUCCUCUCUUCUCAACCCUCCUCCUCCCCCUCCACCCUCUUCUCUCACCCCGGAGGAUUUUGUCACCUUCUUGGAGGAGAAGAUGCUGUCCUUCAACUGAUCAAAUCCAGUAACCCAACCACCUGCCCACUGGAUCCCAUCCCAUCUGCACUGUAUCAGUCAAUCUCCAAGGACCUACUGCCCUUCAUCACUUUUCUCCUCAAUAAGUCCUUGGCAUCAGAACCAGCUCCAGGACCCCAACCAGUCUGACUUCAAACCAGCGCACUCAACAGAAACUGCCCUCAAAGCAGUGACUGAGAAGCUCCAAUCAGCAAGAUCAGCCAAACUGUCAUCUGUCCUGAUCCUUCUUGAUCUCUUAGCAGCUUUUAACAUAGUCAGCCAUACUAUCCUUCUGGACAUCCUCACCAACCUUGGAAUCAUUGUCUAUUAGUGGAAGUGGUUCAAGACCUAUCCGGAGGAU